GUGCAAUGGCAUAAGCCAGCUUGACUGCGAGCGUGACGGCGCGAGCAGGUGCGAAAGCAGGUCAUAGUGAUCCGGUGGUUCUGAAUGGAAGGGCCAUCGCUCAACGGAUAAAAGGUACUCCGGGGAUAACAGGCUGAUACCGCCCAAGAGUUCAUAUCGACGGCGGUGUUUGGCACCUCGAUGUCGGCUCAUCACAUCCUGGGGCUGAAGUAGGUCCCAAGGGUAUGGCUGUUCGCCAUUUAAAGUGGUACGCGAGCUGGGUUUAGAACGUCGUGAGACAGUUCGGUCCCUAUCUGCCGUGGGCGCUGGAGAACUGAGGGGGGCUGCUCCUAGUACGAGAGGACCGGAGUGGACGCAUCACUGGUGUUCGGGUUGUCAUGCCAAUGGCACUGCCCGGUAGCUAAAUGCGGAAGAGAUAAGUGCUGAAAGCAUCUAAGCACGAAACUUGCCCCGAGAUGAGUUCUCCCUGAGACUUAGAGUCUCCUGAAGGAACGUUGAAGACGACGACGUUGAUAGGCC
rnacentral:rRNA from 1 species